rnacentral:ncRNA from 1 species
GGAUGUAUCUUUUCCUUUCUACAUCCGCUGCUG